GAUGAACGCUGGCUGCGUGCCUAAUACAUGCAAGUCGAGCGAACAGACCAGGAGCUUGCUCCUCUGACGUUAGCUGCGCACGGGUGAGUAACACUUGGAUAACCUACCUAUAAGACUGGGAUAACUUCGGGAAACCGGAGCUAAUACCGGUUCAUAUAUUGAUCCGCAUAAUUCAUUAGUAAAAGACGGUUUUUCUAUCACUUAUAGAUGGAUCUGCGCCGCAUUAGCUAGUUGGUAAGGUAACGGCUUACCAAGGCAACGAUGCGUAGCCGACCUGAGAGGGGGAUAGGCCCCACUGGAACGGAGACGCGGUCCAGACUCCUACGGGAGGCAGCAGUAGGGAAUCUUCCGCAAGGGGCGAAAGCAUGACGGAACAAAGCCGCGUGAGUGAUGAAGGUCUUCGGAUCGUAAAACUCUGUUAUUAGGGAAGAACAAAUGUGUAAGUAACGAUGCACGUCUUGACGGUACCUAAUGAGAAAGCAACGGCUAACUACGUG
rnacentral:rRNA from 1 species